GGGUUCAGCCGCUAGGCUGGAGGGAUUCAGGAUGGUCGGGCCGCCAUUC
rnacentral:ncRNA from 12 species